GACGAACGCUGGCGGCGUGCUUAACACAUGCAAGUCGAACGGAAAGGCCCUGCUUUUGUGGGGUGCUCGAGUGGCGAACGGGUGAGUAACACGUGAGUAACCUGCCCUUGACUUUGGGAUAACUUCAGGAAACUGGGGCUAAUACCGGAUAGGAGCUCCUGCUGCAUGGUGGGGGUUGGAAAGUUUCGGCGGUUGGGGAUGGACUCGCGGCUUAUCAGCUUAUUGGUGGGGUAGUGGCUUACCAAGGCUUUGACGGGUAGCCGGCCUGAGAGGGUGACCGGCCACAUUGGGACUGAGAUACGGCCCAGACUCCUACGGGAGGCAGCAGUGGGGAAUAUUGCACAAUGGGCGGAAGCCUGAUGCAGCAACGCCGCGUGCGGGAUGACGGCCUUCGGGUUGUAAACCGCUUUCGCCUGUGACGAAGCGUGAGUGACGGUAAUGGGUAAAGAAGCACCGGCUAACUACGUGCCAGCAGCCGCGGUGAUACGUAGGGUGCGAGCGUUGUCCGGAUUUAUUGGGCGUAAAGGGCUCGUAGGUGGUUGAUCGCGUCGGAAGUGUAAUCUUGGGGCUUAACCCUGAGCGUGCUUUCGAUACGGGUUGACUUGAGGAAGGUAGGGGAGAAUGGAAUUCCUGGUGGAGCGGUGGAAUGCGCAGAUAUCAGGAGGAACACCAGUGGCGAAGGCGGUUCUCUGGGCCUUUCCUGACGCUGAGGAGCGAAAGCGUGGGGAGCGAACAGGCUUAGAUACCCUGGUAGUCCACGCUGUAAACGGUGGGUACUAGGUGUGGGGUCCAUUCCACGGGUUCCGUGCCGUAGCUAACGCUUUAAGUACCCCGCCUGGGGAGUACGGCCGCAAGGCUAAAACUCAAAGGAAUUGACGGGGCCCCGCACAAGCGGCGGAGCAUGCGGAUUAAUUCGAUGCAACGCGUAGAACCUUACCUGGGUUUGACAUGGAUCGGGAGUGCUCAGAGAUGGGUGUGCCUCUUUUGGGGUCGGUUCACAGGUGGUGCAUGGCUGUCGUCAGCUCGUGUCGUGAGAUGUUGGGUUAAGUCCCGCAACGAGCGCAACCCUUGUUCACUGUUGCCAGCACGUUAUGGUGGGGACUCAGUGGAGACCGCCGGGGUCAACUCGGAGGAAGGUGGGGAUGACGUCAAGUCAUCAUGCCCCUUAUGUCCAGGGCUUCACGCAUGCUACAAUGGCUGGUACAGAGAGUGGCGAGCCUGUGAGGGUGAGCGAAUCUCGGAAAGCCGGUCUCAGUUCGGAUUGGGGUCUGCAACUCGACCUCAUGAAGUCGGAGUCGCUAGUAAUCGCAGAUCAGCAACGCUGCGGUGAAAAAGUUCCCGGG
rnacentral:rRNA from 1 species